ensembl:lncRNA
GAGUAACAAAGGUCGGUUCUUGGGGUCUCUGUGGGAGGGGCACUUCCUACUGUGCUGACUGUGGGUGGCGGUGUGCGGAGGUGCCUGGUGUGUGAUUUUCAUUCAGUAAAUGUUUGCAGAGGGCCCGGGGUGUGCUGGAGCCGGGGCCUGCAGGAAGGGUAAGGUUUCAGCAGGUGCAGGUGCCAAGGAUGGCGGCAGGAGGGACAGGCAGAGCCCUGGGGCUGGGGCAGGAGCAGCUAGUGCCAGAGUUUGGGAAGGGCUGACCACCUUGUCCUCUACCUGGCUCACAAUCUGGUAUCCCAGUCCCCCCUGCUACUGUGAUUGGUUCCAGGAGGAGCACGUGACCUCAGUCAAUCCAAUGGGAGUCGGUUUUGGAACGUAAGCCAUAAAGACUGGGAAAGUGGCUCUCCCUUGGUUGCCAUCCUUGCUGCAGCAUGGACAUGGUCAUGGUCAGCUAAGAAGGAAGCCCACACAGAAGGAAACAGUCAAGGGAAGGAGAGAAAAUCCGAUGCCAUCAUCAAGUCCCUCAUCUGGCUAUACCAAAGCCAAAUAAACAUCCCAAACCUCCCAAUUAUGUAAGCAAAUAAAUGCUAUUUCAUGCUUAUGCCCA